rnacentral:lncRNA from 1 species
GACAAGCAAAGAGAGAAGCAAACGGAUAAGCACUCUCUCGCUCCCUCGACACCGGACUCAAGGAUCACCGCUUCGCUUCCGCUACGAAGGGCAAAAGAUUACCCCGUGGUAUCAAUAGGGUAAAACACUUGAGCACCGCAACGGAUUAUCAAACCAAAGGAAGAAGAAAUAGGAAGAAAAUAGCAAAGCAAACACAAAGAUGUAACGAGGUUCGGCUACAAGUAGCCUACGUCCUCCACCGCUCCAAAUCUCAAUUAGGAUGAACAGAUUACAGAGAUAGCACACACCCGAAC